rnacentral:rRNA from 1 species
GACGAACCGUGCGAACGUUAUUCGGAAUCACUGGGCUUAAAGCGCGUGUAGGCGGGCCGGCACGUCCGACGCUGAAAGCCCCCGGCUCAACCGGGGAACGGCGCGGGAAACUAGCAGGCUUGAGUUCGGGAGAGGGAAGCGGAAUUCCGGGUGUAGCGGUGAAAUGCGCAGAUAUCCGGAGGAACACCGGUGGCGAAGGCGGCUUCCUGGACCGACACUGACGCUGAGGCGCGAAAGCUAGGGGAGCAAACGGG